CCUACGGGCGGCAGCAGUGAGGAAUAUUGGUCAAUGGGCGCAAGCCUGAACCAGCCAAGUCGCGUGAGGGAUGACGGUCCUAUGGAUUGUAAACCUCUUUUGUCGGGGAGCAAGGCCCGCCACGUGUGGCGGGAAGGAGAGUACCCGAAGAAAAAGCAUCGGCUAACUCCGUGCCAGCAGCCGCGGUAAUACGGAGGAUGCGAGCGUUAUCCGGUUUUAUUGGGUUUAAAGGGUGCGUAGGCGGAAGGUUAAGUCAGCGGUCAAAUGUCGGUGCUCAACACCGGCCUGCCGUUGAAACUGGUCGUCUUGAGUGAGCGAGAAGUAUGCGGAAUGCGUGGUGUAGCGGUGAAAUGCAUAGAUAUCACGCAGAACUCCGAUUGCGAAGGCAGCAUACCGGCGCUCAACUGACGCUGAGGCACGAAAGCGUGGGGAUCGAACAGGAUUAGAUACCCUUGUAGUC
rnacentral:rRNA from 1 species